rnacentral:rRNA from 1 species
UACGUAGGGCGCAAGCGUUAUCCGGAAUUAUUGGGCGUAAAGAGCUCGUAGGCGGUUUGUCGCGUCUGCCGUGAAAGUCCGGGGCUCAACUCCGGAUCUGCGGUGGGUACGGGCAGACUAGAGUGCGGUAGGGGAGAUUGGAAUUCCUGGUGUAGCGGUGGAAUGCGCAGAUAUCAGGAGGAACACCGGCGGCGAAGGCGGCUUCCUGGACCGAUACUGACGCUGAGACGCGAAAGCGUGGGGAGCAAACAGG